UUCCAAUAUAUGUAUUUUUUACGAUUCUUUAUUUCCCCCUUUUUUUUCCACUGGGGAGCAGCAAGGGGCCAAGGAGAGUGACAACCUGGACGGGCAGGGGAUGCUAAUGCCACACUGUCCUCUGAGCCCACUGCUGGAGCCCUGAGUGGGGAGCAUGGGGCAGAGGAGCCAGGAGACACAGCAGCUCUGCAGCCCCCUCCCUGUGAUCAAAGCCCCCGCUCUGUCCUGGAGUGUUUGGGGAAACCCGGGUGCCCCCGGUGUGGGCAUUUGGGAAGGCUCUGAGGACGCCCAGCUCCCUGGGGAACAGGGCCCUGGACCGAGACUCUGUGCUACUACCUCCACAUCCCUGGGUGUCCACAGAGCAGGGGACAUGCUGGGGGAGGCGGCCCAACUUGCGAAGCACCGCGGGGGGCUGCCUGGGGUAUCCGGCAACUAAGCCCAGUUGGUGACUUCCAGGGGAGUGGGGUGUGGAUGGUCCAGCUCUGCAAAGACAAGACUCACCCCUUAGCCCCCAGAGUUGGAAAGACACAGAAGCAGGUGCAUGGAGCAGAGCCAGGCGUGCGUAAGGUGCAAAGCAGGCCCCAUGGCAGUGGCCACAGCCACACUGACCUGGGCUGGGUGGGAAUGGGACAGGAGGGGCUGAAGCAGAUGGCACAGCCCUCGGAGUCCUGUCCAAAUGGAGGUGAGGACGAGGCGGAUGUCUGGCCACCCAUAGGCCUCGGGAAGCAGGGUCACAGGUUCUGCUGACCAGCGUCCUUCGUGGAGGACUAAGACUGGGGAGGGACGCUCCCAGGGCACGAGGGGGGCUCCUGAGAAACUCACAGUCGCGGGAGAAAACAUCAGAGCACUGGGACUGAAGAGACGGGGAGCAUCCACUUGUCUUGCUCGGGAGGUGGGGACACAGCCGACAGCUAUCCCUGAGGCAUCUCUGAGCACUGUUGGAGGGUCCAGGAAGCGCCCCCCCGACCCUGCACCCCCGAUCAAGACUUUGCCAUGUUGCCCACAGCCAGGGGAGUGGGGCCGCCAGGGAGGGCAGGCACAGGCAGUCCCCAAGGCCAUGAGGAUGAGGGCCAUGGCCGAGCUUCCAGCAGCUGCCCUGGUUCACCUGGUUCACUUGUGUCCAACAGGAACCCCCAGAGACUCUGCCUAGGAAGCUGGAGUGAGCCCGGCCUUCCCCUGUGGAUGAGAGGGUGGGCAGCUGCUGACCCCCAGCCCCGCCCCGGCUGCCUGUGCGCACAGGGCCUGCCCUGACUUUCCAGACUCUCUGACCAGUGGAGCCUGGUCCUUGAUGGCCAGAGCUGAGCAGGGCGGGGGGAAUGUUCCAGAAUGACAACAGGUGAGAAGCAUGCAGGAAGCCGAAGUCUCUCAGACCCCCCAGGCCGGCCUGGCUGGCAGAACUGGUUCCCAGCCCUUUACUCCCCCACCCCCCGCCCCCACAAGGACCUGAGCCCCAAUCCAGGGCCUGGUGUGGCAACAGCCCGAGGGCUGGACCCUGACCCGCCGUCCCACCGUCCUCGGACCAAAAAAGCGCAGGAGCCAGUGACCAGGCCAGGGAGCCUCUCUCUUUUUCUGUUUCCUUUUAAUGACCUCAUUUCAAAGAAGAGCCGUCUCCUGACAAGGGACGUUUCCCA
rnacentral:lncRNA from 1 species